rnacentral:rRNA from 1 species
AAAAAAGGUAAGCUACUAAGAGCGAAUGGUGGAUGCCUUGACUGGUAAAGGCGAUGAAGGACGUACUAGACUGCGAUAAGCUACGGGGAGCUGUCAAGAAGCUUUGAUCCGUAGAUUUCCGAAUGGGGCAACCCAAUGUAUAGAGAUAUACAUUACCUAUAUAGGAGCGAACGAGGGGAAUUGAAACAUCUUAGUACCCUCAGGAAAAGAAAUCAAUAGAGAUUGCGUCAGUAGCGGCGAGCGAAAGCGCAAGAGGGCAAACCCAGUGCUUGCACUGGGGGUUGUAGGACUGCAAUGUGCAAGAGCUGAGUUUAGCAGAACAUUCUGGAAAGUAUAGCCAUAGAGGGUGAUAGUCCCGUAUGCGAAAAACAAAGCUUAGCUAGCAGUAUCCUGAGUAGGGCGGGACACGAGGAAUCCUGUCUGAAUCCGGGUCGACCACGAUCCAACCCUAAAUACUAAUACCAGAUCGAUAGUGCACAAGUACCGUGAGGGAAAGGUGAAAAGAACUGAGGUGAUCAGAGUGAAAUAGAACCUGAAACCAUUUGCUUACAAUCAUUCAGAGCACUAUGUAGCAAUACAGUGUGAUGGACUGCCUUUUGCAUAAUGAGCCUGCGAGUUGUGGUGUCUGGCAAGGUUAAGCAAACGCGAAGCCGUAGCGAAAGCGAGUCUGAAUAGGGCGCUUAGUCAGAUGCUGCAGACCCGAAACGAAGUGAUCUAUCCAUGAGCAAGUUGAAGCUAGUGUAAGAACUAGUGGAGGACUGAACCCAUAGGCGUUGAAAAGCCCCGGGAUGACUUGUGGAUAGGGGUGAAAGGCCAAUCAAACUUCGUGAUAGCUGGUUCUCUCCGAAAUAUAUUUAGGUAUAGCGUUGUGUCGUAAUAUAAGGGGGUAGAGCACUGAAUGGGCUAGGGCAUACACCAAUGUACCAAACCCUAUCAAACUCCGAAUACCUUAUAUGUAAUCACAGCAGUCAGGCGGCGAGUGAUAAAAUCCGUCGUCAAGAGGGAAACAACCCAGACUACCAGCUAAGGUCCCUAAAUCUUACUUAAGUGGAAAACGAUGUGAAGUUACUUAAACAACCAGGAGGUUGGCUUAGAAGCAGCCAUCCUUUAAAGAAAGCGUAAUAGCUCACUGGUCUAGUGAUUUUGCGCGGAAAAUAUAACGGGGCUAAAGUAAGUACCGAAGCUGUAGACUUGCGCACAACUUAGAUUAUUUAAGUUUAGAAUAUGAGAAACUAAGUUAUAUUUUUACUGAUUUUUAUAGAGUAAAGAUAGAAAUAAAACUUAGUAAAAUCAGUAAAAAUAUUCUUAGGCUAAAGUUAAGUAGUUUAAGUUGUGUGCAAGUGGUAGGAGAGCGUUCUAUUUGCGUCGAAGGUAUACCGGUAAGGAGUGCUGGAGCGAAUAGAAGUGAGCAUGCAGGCAUGAGUAGCGAUAAUUAAUGUGAGAAUCAUUAACGCCGUAAACCCAAGGUUUCCUACGCGAUGCUCGUCAUCGUAGGGUUAGUCGGGUCCUAAGUCGAGUCCGAAAGGGGUAGACGAUGGCAAAUUGGUUAAUAUUCCAAUACCAACAUUAGUGUGCGAUGGAAGGACGCUUAGGGCUAAGGGGGCUAGCGGAUGGAAGUGCUAGUCUAAGGUCGUAGGAGGUUAUACAGGCAAAUCCGUAUAACAAUACUCCGAGAACUGAAAGGCUUUUUGAAGUCUUCGGAUGGAUAGAAGAACCCCUGAUGCCGUCGAGCCAAGAAAAGUUUCUAAGUUUAGCUAAUGUUGCCCGUACCGUAAACCGACACAGGUGGGUGGGAUGAGUAUUCUAAGGCGCGUGGAAGAACUCUCUUUAAGGAACUCUGCAAAAUAGCACCGUAUCUUCGGUAUAAGGUGUGGUUAGCUUUGUAUUAGGAUUUACUCCGAAAGCAAGGAAACUUACAACAAAGAGUCCCUCCCGACUGUUUACCAAAAACACAGCACUCUGCUAACUCGUAAGAGGAUGUAUAGGGUGUGACGCCUGCCCGGUGCUCGAAGGUUAAUUGAUGGGGUUAGCAUUAGCGAAGCUCUUGAUCGAAGCCCGAGUAAACGGCGGCCGUAACUAUAACGGUCCUAAGGUAGCGAAAUUCCUUGUCGGUUAAAUACCGACCUGCAUGAAUGGCGUAACGAGAUGGGAGCUGUCUCAAAGAGGGAUCCAGUGAAAUUGUAGUGGAGGUGAAAAUUCCUCCUACCCGCGGCAAGACGGAAAGACCCCGUGGACCUU